CAUGGAACAAUUGAAAACCCAAAGUCCACAAAACAAAAUGACACGAGUCCAAAAACACUAACAUAAAAUAAGUCAAAAAUAGCUUGACAAAGAAAAUACUUACAAAACCAAAAUCUAUCGAGGCGAAAGCGACUGUGAGCGAGAGCAUGAGGUCCAGAAAAUGGCACUUGGGCAUGAACAGUGAAUAAGGUCAAUAAUCCGACAAACACGAGCCAUCUUGGAAGUCCCAAAAUACAAGGAAGCUUGAUUGCAUGACGAGACACAGGUACACCGCUGAAGGGUCACGCCCAACACUCCAGCUGGUGCUG